UCUAUACUUUCUGACGAAUAUAUCUAAAAGAAGCUUCUCAAGAAAAUAAGCGCGUAAGUGAAAGCCCGAGAAAUCUGACAGAGACACGCGCGUGAAAUCAGAAAAUGGCGGGAGAAGUGAGGGCCGCCGAAAACAUAGUCAUCACAGAGAGCAGUGACCGGCACAAAUGGAGAGAGGUUAUGAGACACAGACAAUGCAACAUGAGUAUGACAGACUAACAAUCUUUUCACAAAAUCAAGGAGGGCUUUACGAUGCAACAUUCUGAGGCAACAAGACUGGACGCUGGACGGCAUCCUCACCUAACAUGAUUAGACCUCGCUAUUACAUGCCAACUACAAGUGAUUGCGGUAACCAUCACAACCAAAGUAGAUCUUUAUCAUUGCUUAAACACACAUACAAGUGUGCAUGGUGUAUAGCCAUACACAACACAAACACCACGAAUAUAAAACUAGGUGAUUUGAUUUCAUGACUAUAUCAAAAUUGUCCAAACAUCAGAUGUGGCAAAGACUCACCAUGUUCUGAAAGAGCCAGCACCCCUUUAUCUGAAAUAUCUUUCACUUGACAGUCUUCUUCUUCCAGCUGGUAGCUCUCAAAACUGAAGCUCAUCACAACGUUGCCCUCGGGGGUCUGACCAGGGGUGGCCUGUUUACGCCUCUCUGGGCCUUUAGAGCCCAUAGUCCCUCUUUUGGGCUGAUAACUCUUUCAGUAAGGCUCUCUGUAACGCUGUCAGCAGUGUGGAGAGCACUAAAAGAAAAUGACUGUUAUUGAGGUUUUUUAUGUUUUAGAUAAGAGAUGAAAGGGCUCUGUGAUGUCAGUGAUGUUAAAUUGGCUCUAGUGGCUGAACAGUGAAGUAUAAUAAAAGCAGCCUCAAGCCAGCCAUGGUUUUUGACAUUUCAUGUUUGGCUUUAUGCAAGCCUUUUAAUGCAUGUGCAUCAUAUAUUAAUAUUAUUAUUACUACUACCAUAAUAAUAAUAAUAAUGUUUUAACCCAUUACAAAGAGCAUGGUGCAAGAUAAGAUAUUCUAUUAAAUACAAAUAUAUACACUAACCUAAAGGAUUAUUAGGAACACCAUACUAAUACUGUGUUUGACCCCCUUUGGCCUUCAGAACUGCCUUAAUUCUACGUGGCAUUGAUUCAACAAGGUGCUGAAAGCAUUCUUUAGAAAUGUUGGCCCAUAUUGAUAGGAUAGCAUCUUGCAGUUGAUUUGUGGGAUGCACAUCCAGGGCACGAAGCUCCCGGUCCACCACAUCCCAAAGAUGCUCUAUUGGGUUGAGAUUUGGUGACUGUGGGGCCAUUUUAAUACAGUGAAUUAAUUGUCAUGUUCAAGAAACCAAUUUGAAAUGAUUCAAGCUUUGUGACAUGGUGCAUGAUCCUGCUGAAAGUAGCCAUCAGAGGAUGGGUACAUGGUGGUCAUAAAGGGAUGGACAUGGUCAAAAACAAUGCUCAGGUAGGCCGUGGCAUUUAAACGAUGCCCAAUUGGCACUAAGAAAACAUCCCCCACACCAUUGCAUUAAUGAGAAAUUGAACAGGUGUUCCUAAUAAUCCUUUAGGUGAGUGUAUAUAUACGUAGUUAAGUAAGGUUCAUCGUUUAACUUUAAGCUACAAAGAUAAGAAGAGCCUGAAGAUAAGAGUUGGUUAUAGCAACAGAAACAGAUAACUAAACCGUAACCUGGGACUGAGCAUGCCCUUUGUAUUUCUUUGUAAGCCCUGAGGUGUACUAUAGUAGUGCACUGCAAUAGUAAUUUGGUCUCGAAACUAUAUUCGCUUGUUUGGACAAAACGCUUUGAGAAUAAUAAUAGUCCUAUGAGAACCGUAUGCGUAUGCUUGCGGAUUAAAUUACAUCUGUGUUGGCCAGCAUUCAGCCUAAUUUUACUUUUGCAUUAGAUGCCUAUUCAUGGAUGUACAUCUUUCUAACGUCUGGGGCUAAACUUUAUCCCUGUGCUGUCCAAUUUAGACUGUUCCAACCAUUUGUUGUCUUAAUGUAAAGUAGGCCUGUCCGGUGAGCGUAGCCUGAGCCAGGAAUAGAUGCACCGUUGGACAUGCUAUUGAAAUUUUCCUGGUUUUGGAAAUCUGCCAAUCUAUCAUUUAAAGAGGCUGAUGCUGGAAUUGCGUGGCUGGUUCAAAAGAAAAAAGAUCUUUGAUAUCAGGGUUACGUCACUGACUGGAGAGCAUUUGGGCACAUAUUGUCCUUUAUCCUGUGUUGCACUGAGUGACAUUUAAAACCAAUGUUUGGAAUUAUUUAUAUAGUAAAAGUUUGUACCCAAACACAAAAAGUCAUGCAGCAGCAUAUUCACCUUGCUUUCAAGCUAUUGUCAAGGUAUCUCAUGUUGUUUAACCAAGCUAUAAAAUGUCAACAAUGCUGAGAAAUGUCAAUAAAAAGCAUAAACCAUCA